CGUACUGAAUUCAAUAAAAGGUUUUCAUAUCACACUGCAGUUGCCACUGAGGAAUUGAAUCAGGAAAUGGACAUUUACCACCUGAGACAGUGUCCUGGCCACUCCAGAUAAAUUUUGAACAAAGAAGAGAACAAGGGAAAAUGCAGAAAGAGUGCCACUCAGAGGCUCCAGGGACCUGCUAUUGCUUCUGCAUUGUUUGCAUCUGCAAGGAAUGGUGUGUAAUCAGAAGAAACAUUUUGCAAGCUCCCAAAGUUCUGUCAAAGGGGAAAAAUAAGCUAUUUAUUGAUCGACAUGACAGGCAGAGUGACCAAAGCAGCAGCAAGCCAUGAAACCUACAUUGGGAAAUGUCCGCUUAACAUAGUCCAUCCUCUACCUGAACCUGUCUGUUCACUCAGUGAAGCGCUAGUGGAGUGGGGAAAUCUAGGCUUGCAAGAUGCUGGCUUUCAACUCUUUUUAUGUCGUGUUUCCUCCAUGACAGGGACAUAUCAUUUCCUCUGCAGUGCUUCCCUGACUAUACAAUGAAGAUAACACGUUUUUCCACUUUGAGCUGUGAUGAGGCACUGCUCAGGUAGAUUCUCUUAGGUGAAUAAAUCUAACAUGAGCAAUGGAGAUUGUAGCAGCAUUUACCAACAAAUUCCCCGAAGCAAACUCAAAAGACACACUUGGGCUGUUCAUAUACACAAGUUACAAUAUGAUUCCCAGACCACUGUUCAUUUUGUCCAUCCUGUUUGGCCCCAUUAAAACGCAGUUUUCAA